rnacentral:misc_RNA from 1 species
UACGGAGGGGGUUAGCGUUAAUCGGAUUUACUGGGCGUAAAGCGUGCGUAGGCGGCUUUUUAAGUCGGAUGUGAAACCCCCGAGCUUAACUUGGGAAUUGCAUUCGAUACUGGGAAGCUAGAGUAUGGGAGAGGAUGGUAGAAUUCCAGGUGUAGCGGUGAAAUGCGUAGAGAUCUGGAGGAAUACCGAUGGCGAAGGCAGCCAUCUGGUCUAAUACUGACGCUGAGGUACGAAAGCAUGGGUAGCGAACAGG